CGUGGGAAUGUGCCCUUCUCUACGGAAUAGCCUUUGGAAACGAAGAGUAAUACCGUAUACGCCCUUCGGGGGAAAGAUUUAUCGGAGAAGGAUCAGCCCGCGUUAGAUUAGAUAGUUGGUGGGGUAAUGGCCUACCAAGUCUACGAUCUAUAGCUGGUUUUAGAGGAUGAUCAGCAACACUGGGACUGAGACACGGCCCAGACUCCUACGGGAGGCAGCAGUGGGGAAUCUUAGACAAUGGGCGCAAGCCUGAUCUAGCCAUGCCGCGUGAGUGAUGAAGGCCUUAGGGUCGUAAAGCUCUUUCGCCAGAGAUGAUAAUGACAGUAUCUGGUAAAGAAACCCCGGCUAACUCCGUGCCAGCAGCCGCGGUAAUA
rnacentral:rRNA from 1 species